UUUCCGUAGGCGAACCUGCGGAAGGAUCAUUACAGUAGUCGCCCGGGUUGCCGCAAGGCCUCCCGGGUAACCUACCACCCUUUGUUUAUUACACUUUGUUGCUUUGGCAGGCCUGCCCUCGGGCUGCUGGCUCCGGCCGGCGAGCGCUUGCCAGAGGACCUAAACUCUGUUUGUCUAUACUGUCUGAGUACUAUAUAAUAGUUAAAACUUUCAACAACGGAUCUCUUGGUUCUG
rnacentral:misc_RNA from 1 species